ensembl:lncRNA
GGGGAAAAGAGUUCUUUUAUGGGCUAUUUUAUCCUUUUUUUGUCCUCUCUUGCAGUCGACUUUUUGGCAAAAUACUGCAUCUUCAGCCAGGAGAAGUUGGCGAAGUACAAAAGGGCUUUUGAAGCGGAUGAUACAGAUGAAGAUGGGUACUUGAACUGCUGGCAAGUUUUGAUGGCCUUGAAAGAUGCUGCUUCAGAAGCACUGAUUUAUGCAGGAAGUAAAGCUAACAGAUCUCUCCCUUGAAAAAUGUGAGAGAAUGAUUUUAGAGAUUGUUGACUAUUAUGUAACAGAUGGCCUGACAGACCUCCGACUCUUUGCAGUGAUGGCUAGCUUGGCGUAGAAAAUAGCAGCACUGGAGUAAGCAUUCAGCGGCAUAGACGCUCAUGAAUUUUAACUCCUCAGUGACAAAGGAAUUCAAGGGGAAAUAUUUCUGUGCCUGGCCAGUCAUUGAAAACUUUUCCUGGUAAAGUAGAGGAAGAAGGGGGAAAAGACAUUCACCUCAGAAGAGCAUCCUCAAAACAAAUCAGUCAGGGACACACGUCUCUUCCCUCAGCACACCUCCAUCCUGCAGUCAUUGCUGUAAGACAGAGACUCUCCAUAGCACCUCUGGGACGUAGAACGCUAUCCACUCCCUGCCAGAUCUUCUUGAUGUUGAGUUUUCCAAAGACAUUUUCUCAAAGGGAGAGCACAAUGAAGAGGCCAGCCAGCAGCUCCAGUCUCAGUCGGAGAUCACAACUGUCCAGUGAGGCUGAGAAGCAGGGAGAUAUGUCCUCCCCUCCCCACUGCCAACAUGUGGGCCUGGAGUGCUCUCAGGAAACGUUCAUCACCAGCUCUGGCCAGAAGAUGAAACUGGGCAGAUGAUAUGUUUCAAUGUCUCUUAUUUGUAGUAGUGGUAAAUUUCUUCUCUCUUUUUUAGGGCUAUCAGAAGGCAAAAAGGUAGAGGUUAGGGAGCUGAUACUUCGGCAAAGUGAUGACCUGUGCUCAUACAGUGGUGGUUUCACUUUGUGUGUUAGCUGUUUGCAGCAGUGUCUCAGAGGACAGGGUGUUUGGGGGGUUUUCAACCCCACGUAACCAAUCUGAUGAUGACAUAGUCACUUUUCAUCUUAAUGGGUCUAUCCUGCAAUUCUGGUGAAAUAUUUGGUAUCCAUGAAUCAAAACAGAAAGUAGCUGACUUUCAUUUUUAACAUAGCUAUGGAAGUACUUUCCAUGCACUUUUUUUUUCCCCCUUAAUAAUGCUCUCAAAACUCUUUCUACAUAAGAUUUGAUAACUAGAAGGCAAUACUUUGCAGUUUAAUAGUUUGUGGAACUUUUCUAAUUGUUAAUACAACUCUGCUAGCUGAGGAGUACAGAAACAUAGAAUUCUCCUGCUGAAAUCACAUCUGAUAUGCCCGGAUUUCUCUGAUAGGAAUCGUGCUGUAUUUCUUUAUUUUUUCCAGGCUAAUGUUUAUAUUAGCAUGGACAAACAACAACAAAGAAAAAAUAUGCAUCUUUUUUGCAUUAUUUCUUGUUAAAUUUGUCUUCUUUAGACUAGCCACUUUCUGAACUUCAGGCAAACAAAGAUAGGCAUAACACAUGUCUAAAAUCAGUGAGAGGCAAAUGCGGCACAGUCCUUUGCUUCUUUGUGAGUCAAAUGCUCCAGCCCCCUAAUAAACAUCUGCAAAAAAAGAAAAAAAGAAAAAAA